rnacentral:rRNA from 1 species
GAUGAACGCUGGCGGCGUGCCUAAUACAUGCAAGUCGAGCGAACGGACGAGAAGCUUGCUUUUCUGAUGUUAGCGGCGGACGGGUGAGUAACACGUGGAUAACCUACCUCUCAGACUGGGAUAACUUCGGGAAACCGUAGCUAAUACCGGAUAAUAUUUUGAACCGCAUGGUUCAAAAGUGAAAGACGGUCUUGCUGUCACUUAUAGAUGGAUCCGCGCUGCAUUAGCUAGUUGGUAAGGUAACGGCUUACCAAGGCAACGAUGCAUAGCCGACCUGAAAGGGUGAUCGGCCACACGGGAACAGAGACACAGUCCAGACUCCGAGGGGAGGCAGCAGUAGGGAAUCUUCCGCGAUGGGCGAAAGCCUGACAGAGCAACGCCGCGGGAGUGAUGAAGGUCUUCGGAUCGUAAAACUCUGUUAUUAGGGAGGAACAUAUGUGUAAGUAACUGUGAACAUCUUGACGGUACCUAAUCAGAAAGCCACGGCUAACUACGUG